rnacentral:lncRNA from 1 species
AGAGAGGAGGGAGCGUUGGAGGAACCGGAUGAAGACCAGUUUCAUCACGAUUAUGCUCAUCGUGAUGACCGCAACUCUCUUCUAUGUGAUGGUAGUUUAGAUGAUCGAUAUCGACUUGUAAUGUGAAGACAAACUCUCUACUCGCGGUCUCGAGACUUGUAAUGUUCUAACUUUGUUCGGUAUUUUAAAUUCGGAGACUAAUAUGAUGAAUUGUAUUC